rnacentral:hammerhead_ribozyme from 1 species
AUUCAACUGACUAUUCCCAAAUAGGACGAAACACGUGUCAUGGAU